GUGUUCACUUUGGCAGCACAUAUACUUAAAUUGGAACAAGGCAGAGAAGAUUAGCAUGGCCCCUGCACAAGGAUGACAUGCAAAUUUGUGAAGCAUUCCAUAUUUUU
rnacentral:snRNA from 1 species